rnacentral:miRNA from 2 species
CGUCUGGGAUGGCAUUUUGGC